GGGAGACCAAGGCGGGCGGAUCACUUGAGGUCAGGAGUUCAAGACCAGCCUGGCCAACAUGGUGAAACCCCGUCUCUACUAAAAUACAAAAAUUAGCCGGGCGUGGUGGCGGGCGCCUGUAAUCCCAGCUACUCAGGAGACUGAGGCAGGAGAAUCGCUUGAACCCGGGAGGCGGAGGUUGCAGUGAGCUGAGAUCACGCCAUUGCACUCCAGCC
rnacentral:lncRNA from 1 species